rnacentral:misc_RNA from 1 species
CACUAAGUGAUAACUUUCAAAUUCAGAGAAACCCUGGAAUUAAUAAAAAGGGGCAAUCCUGAGCCAAAUCCCGUUUUCCGAAACCAAAGGUUCAGAAAGUGAAAAAAGGAUAGGUGCAGAGACUCAACGGAAGCUGUUCUAACAAAUGGAGUUGGCUGCGUUAGUAGAGAAAUCUUUCCAUCUAAAAUUCCGAAAGGAUAAAGUGAAGGAUAAACGUAUAUACGUACUGAAUACUAUAUCAAAUGAUUAAUGACGACUCGACUGAAUCUGUAUUUUUUAUAUAAAAACGGAAGAAUUGGUGUGAAUAGAUUCCACAUUGAAGAAAGAAUCGAAUAUUCAUUGAUCAAAUGAUUCACUCCAUAGUCUGAUAGAUCUUUUCAAGAAUUGAUUAAUCGGACGAGAAUAAAGAUAGAGUCCCGUUCUACAUGUCAAUGUCGGCAACAAUGAAAUUUAUAGUNNNNNNNNNNNNNNNNNNNNNNNNNNNNNNNNNNNNNNNNNNNUCCCUCUAUCCCCAAAAAACAUAUUUGAUCCCCCAACUAUUUAUCCUAUCCCCCUUUCGUUAGCGGUUCAAAAAACCUUAUUCAUUUACUCUAUUCUCUUAGAAAUCGAUCCGGACGGAAAAGCCCUUUUCUUAUCACAAAUCUUGUGUUAUUUAUGAUAUACAUAUAAAUGAACAUCUUUGAGCAAGAAAUACCCAUUUGAAUGGUUUACAAUCGAUAUAACUACUCAUACUGAAACUUACAAAGUACUCUUUUUUAAGAUCCAAGAAAUUCUAGUACCUAGAUAAAAUUUUGUAAUCCCCUUUCCUUCUUUUAAUUGACAUAGCCCCCAUUUCUCAUAAAAUGAGGAUGCUACAUUGGGACUGGUCGGGAUAGCUCAGAUGGUAGAGCAGAGGACUGAAAAUCCUCGUGU